GGGGAGUCCCAGACAGUUCAUGAGCCACCAGCCUUGACUCCAAGCUGUCCUAGCCAGAUGUGUGUGAGCUCUACCAUUCAUGUCCAUGCAAUCGCGAAGUAAGCCUCUUGUCCAUCAGUGUUUCCUACCAUGACAAGCCCACAACCAUGGGACCAGGCGACUGUGGAAUGAAACCCUUGAAACAGGGUGACCUGUGGACCCCCAGAAUGAACUUGUCACACCUAGCUGAGCUCACUGAAAAUGCUGGUUUCUGUGAGCCAUCCUGGGUCUAUAGAAAUGGACCCUCUGGUGUCUUUUUGAAUACAAAAGCUCUAGAACCCGCAACUCUAUACUGAAAAGGAAGAAGAUGAUAAGAAGAUAUUGGGAUUAGCCUUCGGUGUACUUUCAGUAGCCGGUGGCUGGGCUGUGUUUUCCCAAUCUCCUUAAAACGGGCCAACUGUAUUUCUGCCCCUCCCCCAUUCAAGAACACACUCUUGCUAGAAAUCCUUACUAUGCAAGGCUACUUUCCUAAUUUGCUUUUGCUGCUAGGAAACUCAGCUUCUAAGCUUGUAUUUAUUGCAGGUAACUGCUCAGGUAUUCUGGCCAUUUUUCAUGUUUAUCCUUAUUUGUGGCUUUAUCUUCUUUUCUGAUUUUUUUUCCAUUUCCUAAAUUAAUUUAAAGUUCUGUCGUCCUAUCUGUAUUUUGGUAAGCUAUCUCUAACACCUCUGCUUCAAACAAGAUAGGAAUAAACAAUUCUUAGCAUUUGUAUUGUUUUCAGGAGACGUUAUUAAUCAAGUAAAGCCUGCUAGUCAAAGGCACGAAGCACAGCAUCAAAGCUAAAGAAGAGUGUGAACCGGGAGAUUUAGGGUCAGGGAGCACACACCUCUGGCUCAGCAUCUUGGGCCAGAGAGACAAUAGAAACUAAACUGUUGUGAGUCCCAGCGGCGACUCGAUGCUUUCUCCUGUGUACGUGCACCCACCUGUGUUUGGGAGCGCACCCACCUGUGGGUGCAAGUGUGCCUGGGGAGGGAGAUGGAGGCCGGAGGACCACCUCGUUUGCUGUUGACGUGUAUGUGUGAGACGGGGUCUCUCCCUGGCCUACAGCUCACUCGGUAGGCGAGGCCAGCUAGCUCCUCAGUGCGUGAGCCCCAGAGCCCGCUUGUCUCUGCUCUCCAGUGCUGUGAUCACAGCCUACGCACCAUAUAUGGCUUGUUUUUCCACAUGGGGUUUGGGAGUUGAACUCAGGUCCUCAUGUUUUCAAAGUAUCCACUGAACUCACUGAGGUGUCCACAACCCCUCUUAUUAGGUAUUUUGAAGUGAUGAUAUUACAUACAUACACAUAGGCACGCACAUGCAGGCGAGCACAAACACACACACACCACAGAGUAGUUAUGAAAUGAAUGUUUGUGUCUACCCUAAAGUUUGCAUGUUAAAGAUCUACCCUCCAAUGUGGCUGUGUUUGGUGAACAAGCUUUGCUGAAGUAAUAAAAUUUCAAUGAAGUCAUAAGGUUGGAGCCCUGUGAUUGGAUAGCAUCAAUGUCCUUAGA